CUCCCAGUCUUUCCCAGUCACUCCCAGUCACUCUGCAAGUGCCAUCCCAGUCACUCCCAGUGCUUCCCAAUCACUCUGAGUGCUCCCCCAGUGCGUCCCAGUCCCUCCCAGUCAAUCCCCGCACACGCCCAGGGCCCACCCGGCAGUUCUCCCCAGUUCCCAGUUCCCUCCCAGUCCUCCCCAGUCCCUCCCAGUGUCCCCCCAGCCCCUCCCAGUCCCUCCCAGUCCCUCCCAGUGUCCCCAACAAGGUCCCUUUGUCCCGGUCCCGCCGGUGCCUGUCACGGUGGGGGGGGGGGGCGGGGGCACCCCACGUGUCCCCCCCGGUACCCGCCCCUCCCCCAGCCUCACAGGGACCCCCAGAGGCCUUCCCGGGGUCCCCAGAACCCCCUGGGACCCCCCGGGACCCCCAGAACCCCCUGGGACCCUCCCCAGACCCCCCCCGGAACCUCCAGAAGGCCCCGGACCUCCGAAGACCCCACCGGACCCCCCGGACCCCCCCCCCCGGGGCAGCCGGAGCCGCCGGGGGUCUUCGACCUGGGGGUGCUGAGAACCCCCCGGGGGCUGCUGCUGGCAGGGGAACUGGUGCUGUCCGGGGGGGUGGUGGCACUCCUGGCCCCCCCCGCGCCCCCCACCCUGGCCCCGGCGCUGCUCCAGACCCUGGUGGGGGCGGCGGCCCUGGGGGGGCUCCUGCUGCGGGACCCCCCCCGGCUGCCCCCCGGCUACGGCACCUGCCUGGACCUGCUCCGGGCCAUCAGUGGGACCCUCAUCUUCCUCGUGGUGGCCCUGGUGGCCUUGGCCUCGUCACGUGACGCCCUGGCUGCCACCACCUUCACCUUCAGCCUCGUCCUCGCCUUGGUCUUCGCCUUCGACACCUUCGUCACCUUCCGCACGCGGGUGGCCCCGGCCCUGGGACAGGGUGAGGGGACACCUGGGGCACCCUGGGGUGGGCUUGGGGGACACCUGGGGCACCCUGGGGUGGGAUUAGGGACACCUGGGACACCUGGGACAUCCUUCGGUGGGGUUGGGGACACCUGGGAAACAUCUGGGUUGUCCAUGGGUGGGCUUGGGGGACACCUGGGACACCCUGGGUUGGGGUUGGGGACACCUGGGACAUCCUUCGGUGGGGUUGGGGAACACCUGGAGCACCCUGGG
rnacentral:lncRNA from 1 species